UUUCUGGAGAGUUUGAUCCUGGCUCAGGGUGAACGCUGGCGGUAUGCCUAAGACAUGCAAGUCGAGCGGGCCAUGGGGCGACUCAUGGUUAGCGGCGGACGGGUGAGUAACACGUAGGUGACCUA
rnacentral:rRNA from 1 species